CAAAGCUGCUGUGGGAUGCUGCCCCGAUGCUAUUGGCAGCUCUGUGCACACUGAGUGCUCUGCUAGGGCCCAUCAGAGCCACUGCUCCAGACAUGGGCACUCAGAUGCACAGAGAUGAGCAAGAAGAAAUGGCUGUAAGCUGCUCCAUGUGGGCACAGCACAGCUGAGGGCUCACAGCUCAUCAGGCAGAGCAGAGCCACCCUCAGCCCAUGAGUGACAAAUGUAAGGUUAUCUGGGUCUGCAGCUGUGGGAUGAAACCUCUGUGCUGUUGUACAGGGUAAGUGCAAAGGAAAGCAGGAACCAAGAGAUGAUGUGAGGUGUGUGGAAGCAGAAUUCAAUUAAACUAAUUAAUAAAUAUGCCCCUGUAAUUCAUACAGGUUUUAACUCCAGCACUGAUUGAGCACCUGGGGAAAGGACCCGGUCAGCCCUGGGAGCACAGGUGGAGGCAAUUCAGCUUUAAGACCAGAAGGGCUGGAGCCUGGUUGCACCUGUCUUAGACCUUAUUUAAUGGCUGACUGCAGUGGGGAAGGGUCUUUGGCUAGAGAUUCUUCCCUUGUGGAACCUUUCCUUGUGAGCUGAGAUCUUUGAGACAGCAGGGAACCGAGCGGUGCGGGGCUGCCCGAGUUGCGUGGAGGACAGAAGAACACGGCUUUCCACGUAAGACACAGGGCACAGCCGUGACACCCUGCUGCUCUGGGCAUUGCGGGAGCUGGGGAAGGAGCCGGGAGCCGCGGCUGGGCCACAGGAGCGGAGCGGAGCGUUGUCGGGGCCGCCCUGCAGGUGGCAGCGGGGCUCCGCUCUGCGCACACCGCUGUGCCGGCCCGAGCUCUGCUCGCUCGGAAGGAAUAAGAAGCGCCUGAAGAGCGAAUUUGGUACGGGAUACGAGCAGAGCCGUUGUGAGACACGGUGUUAACGACCCCCUUCCUGUAAGGAAGAGUAGAAAAUGAAAGCAAAUCCAGACAUGAAAGCCAAGAAAUUAAACAAGCUGCCAGCCUCAGAUUUCAGCGUUUCUUCAUGCUGACCCCAUCACCCUCCUGGGGAGGUCUUCGUGGCCACGCAGCUUCCAGCGAUGUUACAAAGAGUGACUAUGAUAAAUUUACUAAGGUGGACAGAAACCCUUUGGACCCUUCACCUCAGCAGCUUCCAUCCCCACCAGGGCUUUUCCUGGACACAGGGAGUGUCAGCAAGGAGACCUGGGCAUCCUGAGCCAGGGGAACACAUUGUCAUCUUGCACUCACACACAGGUCCCAGCCAGGCCACAGCAGUU